UACAGAGGGGGCAAGCGUUAUUCGGAAUUAUUGGGCGUAAAGGGCGCGUAGGCGGCCUGGCAAGUGGAAGGUGAAAUCCCUCGGCUUAACCGAGGAACUGCCCUCCAAACUGCUUGGCUUGAGUCCGGGAGAGGUGAGUGGAAUUCCCAGUGUAGCGGUGAAAUUCGUAGAUAUUCGCAAGAACACCAGUGGCGAAGGCGGCUUACUGGUCCGGUUCUGACGCUGAGGCGCGAAAGCGUGGGGAGCAAACAGG
rnacentral:rRNA from 1 species